rnacentral:rRNA from 1 species
ACGAACGCUGGCGGUGUGCUUCACACAUGCAAGUCGAACGAGUGACUGCUUUGUAGCAAUACAAAGUAGAAGCUAGUGGCGGACGGGUGAGUAACGCGUAGGAAUCUGCCUUUGAGUGGGGGAUAGCAGACCGAAAGGUCUAUUAAUACCGCAUACGUAUAUACUUCGACAGUUGUAUAUAUAAAAAGAGCAAUCUGCUCAUAGAUGAGCCUGCGUCCGAUUAGCUAGUUGGUAGUGUAAUAGACUACCAAGGCGACGAUCGGUAGGUGGUCUGAGAGGAUGAUCACCCACAAUGGAACUGAGACACGGUCCAUACUCCUACGGGAGGCAGCAGUGGGGAAUUUUGUGCAAUGGGGGAAACCCUGACACAGCGACACCGCGUGAGCGAAGAAGCCCUUCGGGGUGUAAAGCUCUGUCGGCUGGGACGAAAAAAAUGACGGUACCAGCAGAGGAAGCAUCGGCUAACUACGU